GGGGAAUAUUGCACAAUGGGCGAAAGCCUGAUGCAGCAACGCCGCGUGAGUGAAGAAGGUUUUCGGAUUGUAAAGCUCUGUCAUCUGGAACGAUAAUGACGGUACCAGAUGAGGAAGCCACGGCUAACUACGUGCCAGCAGCCGCGGUAAUACGUAGGUGGCAAGCGUUGUCCGGAAUUACUGGGCGUAAAGGGUGCGCAGGCGGACAUUUAAGUGAGAUGUGAAAGACCAGGGCUUAACUUGGGCAGUGCAUUUCAAACUGGAUGUCUGGAGUGCAGGAGAGGAGAACGGGAUUCCUAGUGUAGCGGUGAAAUGCGUAGAGAUUAGGAAGAACACCAGUGGCGAAGGCGGUUCUCUGGACUGUAACUGACGCUGAGGCGCGAAAGCGUGGGGAGCAAAC
rnacentral:rRNA from 1 species